UUCUGGAACGGAGGGCUUACACCAGCGCUGCAACAAGAUUCUGGUGUGUACUGAAAGGCAGACAAGGAGAAGGGAGGGGAGAAAGAAUGCAAGGAUCUUUACCAAGAAUGCAAUAAACUUUCCCAUCAGUAGGGGAAAAGAUUUGGCUGCUGUCAUCUCUGAUUUCCAAUUUCUAGGAUUGAUACACACUACGCAAGGCAGUCGUGAUGCAACAAUAACUUUUUGGAGGAAGCAGGGAGGAAUGGUUAUCAGUAUGUUGAUUUUUCCCUGAAAACAUUUUAGCAUUUCCAUUUCCUUGUUUAUUUGAUCUUAAAAGAGAGAGAUGAUAAAAAAAUAUAAUAGGAGAAUGCUUUAAAGAGAUCCUAAUGGCUAUUUUUCUAACUUCAGAAGUCCCUUUUUGCACUCGUCGUCAGUGCAUUAAGUUACACUAACUGGCCAUGUGCUGUCAUUAGCUAACUCUGUGUAAUGAGCCCCCAGAGGUCUUUGCUGCAAAGAGUAUUGUACAGCCCUGGCCUCCCCAGAGCAUACGCACAUGCACACAUGUACCAGCAUGUUAUGCAGAAAAUGUGACGAGUCCUGCUCAUGCUGUUCAGUGUUCAAAGUACACAAAUAGGUACAAGAAUAUGCAUUUAGCUUUGAUUUUGCAUGACACAAACAGAAUCAACACUGUUUAGGUUGGAGCAUCUCCUUAGGCCUCCUUCCUCCCCAUACACUGGGUUGUUACCAGAAAUGCACAGCACAUCCUUGCACUUUGCAACAGGAGGAGGAUUUCCAAGCUCCCUCUGAAUAAACUUGCAGAUUUGUGCUGUGUCCUGAAAGCACGGAUAUUUAGAUAUUUAACACCUCAUGAUGCCACACAGCUCCUAGUUCAGAGUAUGAAAGCACCAUGAUUGUGUUAGCCCGGGAAUUGGGCUGGGGUGUUUCAGUACUGCUGCUACCGAAGUUAGUUUGCAUGGCUCCAGCUCAGGACCCUUUGCAUUGCCCCAUACGGCAGAGGGGGAACCAAAGACACUGCCCUCCCUCAGCCUGUUGUAUGAGCUCCCUUACUCAGCAUCUGGGAUGGACAAUCUGCAAGAGAAUGCAACGUGUCCCAUGGAUGAGGCAUCAGGAGAACAUACUCACCCACAUCUUUUGGGUUAUAUGCUCUGCUCUGCAAGCAUUUGGAAUAAGUGUAAGACCACCCGAAGGCUGGGACUCCUAGAGGCCACGCCAGAUCUGAAAUGAUCGGCUUCUAGCCAGCCAGUGCUGGAGUCUAGAUGCAUUUCUCUCAAAAGGGAGCUGGACCCAGGGAUCAAAGGAAAGGCAUGGGAUGGGAAAGCCCCUGAUGCUGCUGUGCAGCCUUGCUGCUGAGCUGUGUGGCACCAGGGUCACCGCUUUCCACUGCUUCCAUCUCCCUUUCUGUAAAAAGGAAGUAAUUACCCCGACCUGCCUCUUAUGGGGUUCCUCAGCUUCCUUGGCCAGCACCGAGACACACUCAUACAGAAGGUACUUGGGAAGAACGGGGGAUUGUUUGUUUUAAUUUCAUUAAUAUUUUAUUUGACCCUCACCAUGAAAGCCACAGGGGACUCAUCCAGCGUUAAUUCCCCCACACAACAAUUCAUUAGCUUAGACCUCUUCUUUAAUAGAAAAAUAGUUCACAUUGCUUGAAAACUGACCUAGUGGAGACAGAGCACUCUCCCGAUCCCUGUGAACUGACAUCUUUUGAAGCCUUGCUUUUCUGACAUCACUUGGUCUUUGGUUGCUAAUUCAGCCAGUUACACUGAUGCUAUACCCUAUUCUCGAUAAGCAUCUAGAAUUAACAUUUCUGACAUGAAACAAGCACGGUAAGGUGACCCUAGCUGAACACAACCUCAGCGCACGCCAUCUUGGCAGCCUGCUGGUAUCGGCUCGGCUCCGACUGAAUGCACAGCACUAGCAACAGCGUAUUACUGACACGUUGCUGCUCUUUAUUUCACAUUCAGCAGUGAUGCCACUCGCAGCUCCCACUCUGGGCAUUGUAACGGGGUGCAGAGGUCUCACUUUGGCUAUCCAGUAGCUCCAGAACAACAAUGAUGGUCUUCUGUCCAGAGAAGUAAAUCAGAGAAAUAAUAUGCAGGCAACCACUUACUGAAACUUCCCUUUUUAAAGGAAAUACCAACCCAGUAUUUUUCUCAGCUGCCGCAUACACAGUACCAAACAAAGCCAGAAGCAAACAGGUACAUUUCAGUAGACAAUAAUUAAUCACCGGGGCAGAAGUUUCUGCUACUUAGAGGGUUAAGGCUUUUCUAAAGCAGAAUUGACCCAUGCGUUAUUUGGCUCAGCAUAGCAUCAGCUAUGUCAGAGGUCAGAGCAGAGGAUCACAGCGCUGCUUCUAAUCUGAACGUGUGUGAAAUAAAAGCAGUAUGAGCCCUGACAAUUAAUAAAGUGGCAAAACCUGGGUUACACUUAACUCUUCCCACUACAGACGAUCCCUCUAAAUGCCUCAUGAGUUCUUACCGCUCUGUGGUUUUGGAAAGGAAAUAUUUGGCAGUGGUGCUGCCCAAAUGGAUAACCUUUUCCUGGCCUCGUGAAGUCCUUUAUAGGUUUGAUUGAGUUAUGAGGCACUGCGAAUUGCUAUUUUCUGUUUGUGUCUCACAGAAUCCAGCUCAGUCUGGCGCACUGCCAAGCCCUCUCCAUAUUCUCCUGCAAGCCCUGGUACAGCCUCCUGCACUCUCAACAGGCAUCCCCCAUGUGUCAUCCAAAAUGGAUCCCACUCCUCCUCCCCACCAGCUCCAGACGGUUCUCACCCCAGGAGGACUGUCCAGAUCAGGGGCUGCUCUGCUCUUGUGGGACCCGAUAAACUCUUCGCAGGCUGCAGUGUGGAGUGCCUCUUUCUCUGAAACUUGCGUGAAUGUUUGUCCCUGGUUCAGUAUAGCACUUACACAUUAGAUUGAGGUUCUGAGAAAAUAAAUGUUUAUAGAUGGCGGCAGAAGCAUAGGAAAGGGAAACAGUACCAGUUUGUCUAGGAUGGUGUUUGGGGGCAUAUGGGUAUUGCCUGUUUGUCAUUUACGACCCCAGCUAAGCAGGGAGACAAUUUCAAGGGAGACAGGGAAGCCUGGGAGAUGCCCCCAAGGAUCCACCCAGGGCUGAAGGGCUUUGUCACUUUGGCUGGUGCCCAACAGAAGGGUCAGCUCCAGCACAGGCAGCCCAACUGCGGGGCUCUAGUCUGCUUGAGAAAGUUAAAUGCCAGCUGAGGUCCAGCUAGUUCUGCCUGGGUGUAAUGGCAGGAGAAGGGAGGGCUGAAGGCUCCCAGUAUCCACACCACUUAGGAAAGAGAGCUACCACAACUGUCACUUUAUCAGCUUAACAAAAUUAACCUGGUCUUUUAGCAGAAUUAAACUGAUUCUCCUCUGCAAUUCAUUAGCUCCCAUGUUCACAUCCCUGUUUUUCUCUCCAAAGGGACAGGUCAGCACUGGAGGGAGGAACCAGGGUGGCGAAAUGAACACAGCUGCUUUGUAACACAUUGCAGAUGCUGGCAAGCGUCCUGAAAGUAAGAUGGAAUGACACCCAAUGGAUCCCUCAGAAGUGAGAGCCCACUGGAGCAGUAUAGCCAGGGGACAUGCACCUGAGGGUGGGAAUUCAGUAGCUGACGCAUCUUACACCGCCCAGUGAGUAGUGAUCCCAGGCAACACAUUUUUAAUUCCUGUCCCCAUUUCCCUUAUCUAUAAAAUGAAGAUUCUGAGAUUUAAUUGGGGUUAACAGCUGCGUAGUACCUUGAAAAUAUAAAGUUUUAUCUACAGUACUGCAGUUAGACAUCCUGACGUAUGACAUUUCUGAAUGGCUAAUUACCUGACUUCAUGCUCAAACCCUGGUGUUUCAGCAUAGGGCAUGCAGGAGAGAGGGAAGGGAAAAGGUGCUGUGUUCAGUGAUAGAUAGCAAUAAAUGAGUAGGUCAGGGUUCAGGUUGCAUGUCACAGUCUUGUUGUCAAUCCUCUGAUAUGUACACUAAGUGUGACUCUAUUGUAAAAGUGAAAAUGUUUGUUUGAAUUAACAGAUUAGGACGCCAAAAUGGUAGAAUACCAAGAUGGCAGUGGGCAAACGUUUGUGGCUAAUACUAUCUUGGUUGUGAAUAUUCCCAUGACUUGCAUUUUUUUAUUUUUUUUUAUGUAGUAACUUUUGUUGUGAAGAAAAUUGUUUAUGUGACACUGAAUGAAAGGUAGUUAUUGAUGCAGGCAUUUUUCUGUCUCCUACAGAGUAAUUACAACACCUGGUUGCAGGGGCUGUGAACUCAGGCUGGAGAACAGAUUAGUGAAGGAGUAACAUCGCAGACCUGGUCAAAUAAUCAUACUCCAGUUACGAUUCUUGUCCAGUGGGAGAGGUUUAACCUCAUCCCUCUCUUCAACGUUACUGUGAAACUGGGGGAUCCAUCUUGAGCCCAGGCUGAAGGCAGCGAGCUAGUUUACAGCUUUCCCCACCCGAACUGCCAGGAGUUUUGUACCAAAUCAGCCAUGCUUUUCCCUGACCCUCUCCAGCCUCUCUGCCCGUUUCCAGCCCCCACCUCCUGCUGCACGCUUCCCCAGCCGCCUGCACCUCUCUGCACGCCCAGGACACUGCAAUGCUCAUCAGGGCAGGCAGCAGCCUGAGCUACGGUCAG